rnacentral:ncRNA from 1 species
UGGUCUCCUUAGACUCUUCGGGUUAGGGCAGUUCUCUGCAUGUGUGUUCUCACUUACCCGGUGAGGCAGGGGGGCGAGCCCCGAGGGGCUCUUGCUUCUGGCUCCAAGUGGGCAUGACCUUCUCUGGGGACAGUGUCUGGUGGGCAUUGGACUAGGGCCGUACACCUGUCAAACCGUAACGCAGGUGUCCUGAGGCAAGCUCAGGGAGGACAGAAACCUCCCGUGGUCCGUGGAGCAGAAGGGUAAAAGCUCGCUUGAUCUUGAUUUUCAGUACGGAUAUAAGGACUGAAUACAGCGGCUAGCAAAAUGGGCCCUGGUCUUGACUGGGGUCUCUAUAGUAAGGCAGGUGAGUCACCA